rnacentral:rRNA from 1 species
GGAUCCAGACUUUGAUCCUGGCUCAGGAUGAACGCUAGCUACAGGCCUAACACAUGCAAGUCGAGGGGAAACGGCAGCUUAGCUUGCUAAGCUGGACGUCGACCGGCGCACGGGUGAGUAACGCGUAUCCAACCUGCCCCACGGUGAGGGAUAACCCGCGGAAACGCGGCCUAAUACCUCAUGGUCUCCGAGUUCGCCAUCAACCUUGGAGUAAAGAUUCAUUGCCGUGGGAUGGGGAUGCGUCUGAUUAGCUUGUUGGCGGGGCAACGGCCCACCAAGGCAACGAUCAGUAGGGGUUCUGAGAGGAAAGCCCCCCACAUUGGAACUGAGACACGGUCCAAACUCCUACGGGAGGCAGCAGUGAGGAAUAUUGGUCAAUGGGCGAGAGCCUGAACCAGCCAAGUAGCGUGCAGGAAGACGGCCCUAUGGGUUGUAAACUGCUUUUAUGCGGGGAUAAAGCGGGCGACGUGUCGCCCUUUGCAGGUACCGCAUGAAUAAGGACCGGCUAAUUCCGUGCCAGCAGCCGCGGUAAUACGGAAGGUCCGGGCGUUAUCCGGAUUUAUUGGGUUUAAAGGGAGCGCAGGCCGGGUAUUAAGCGUGUUGUGAAAUGUAGGCGCCCAACGUCUGCACCGCAGCGCGAACUGGUGCCCUUGAGUACGCACGACGUUGGCGGAAUUCGCCGUGUAGCGGUGAAAUGCUUAGAUAUGGCGAAGAACUCCGAUUGCGAAGGCAGCUGACGGGAGCGCUACUGACGCUCAUGCUCGAAAGCGCGGGUAUCGAACAGGAUUAGAUACCCUGGUAGUCCGCGCGGUAAACGAUGGAUGCCCGCUAUUCGCGCAUUAGCGCAAGUGGCCAAGUGAAAACGUUAAGCAUCCCACCUGGGGAGUACGCCGGCAACGGUGCAACUCAAAGGAAUUGACGG